UUUUAAGGAACGCCGACCAAGUUCGCCUCGUCCCGAGGCAACGUCGGCAUGACCCGGAUCCUCCGGG
rnacentral:sRNA from 1 species